AAGAAGCAAUAGCAGAAUCCGUGGCCUAACGGACAGGAGACCGAAAGGUGUUUGGUACAAGGCGCAUUAGAGGGACAAGGUGGCAUAAGACACUGAAAUCCAAAAGACAGACGUAACUCUAAUGCGUAAACCAGCGUGGUAAACGGAGAAGGAUU
rnacentral:ncRNA from 1 species